rnacentral:rRNA from 2 species
UGGGGAAUAUUGGACAAUGGGGGAAACCCUGAUCCAGCAAUGCCGCGUGAGCGAUGAAGGCCUUAGGGUUGUAAAGCUCUUUUACCCGGGAUGAUAAUGACAGUACCGGGAGAAUAAGCCCCGGCUAACUCCGUGCCAGCAGCCGCGGUAAUACGGAGGGGGCUAGCGUUGUUCGGAAUUACUGGGCGUAAAGCGCACGUAGGCGGCGAUCUAAGUCAGAGGUGAAAGCCCGGGGCUCAACCCCGGAACUGCCUUUGAGACUGGAUUGCUUGAAUCUGGGAGAGGUGAGUGGAAUUCCGAGUGUAGAGGUGAAAUUCGUAGAUAUUCGGAAGAACACCAGUGGCGAAGGCGGCUCACUGGACCAGUAUUGACGCUGAGGUGCGAAAGCGUGGGGAGCAAACAGG